UAUGGACUACAACGAAGUUCUAGAUUUCGGGGAUGGCCCUGUCACAGACGUGGACACAAAACUUGAGAUAUUAAAAUUCAGCUACAACUGGUCAGACGCAGUUGAGGAGGUGCAAAGAUGUUUGGAGGAAGAACAAAAGCAGCAAAAAGAAAUGAAAAAGAUGGAAAAAGAAAUUUCAGG